AGUCCCAGUUGAGAGGAAGAGGAAGAGAAGAAGCCAGGGGGAGACAGGAGGAGGAGGAGGAGAAACUGGAGAUGACAUUAGCAGCAUGAAAACAGGGGAGUGUAGCAGAGAGGCUUGAAGAACUAUGGAGCCGUUCCGCAGCAAGGAAUACUGCAAGGAGCAGCACUCUUUAAAGAAAUUGCGAAGGGGUCGAGGAUUCCUCAGGAGAGAGGGGCAGAAAUUUAGACGGAUUUGAAGUAAAAUGCAAAUUAGGAAGUGGCAAGCAGAGGGUGUGGAUAGAGUGGGGAAGAGGGGCUGGAAGCUGCAUGAGAAAAAUAAUUUUAGAAACAGGCAAGAGGUGAGAUAAUAGUAAAGACUGCACAGAAUCUUUUCCUUUUUUUUAAUUUUAAAAGGUCAUCAAGGUCUCUGAACAAAACCAGUUGUAAGAAUUUUAAGCGCCUCAGGAAAAAAUAUCCCGGAAGAAGCAAACCUCUCUGUGUCUUAACACCCCCUUUCAAAUGCCCCCUAACACCCCUUCCUCCAAAUUUGGAUGGUGAAGCGAUGGCCCACCGUGCAGAACGAGAUACGCACUUCAGGAAGACUCUGGUGAUCUAUGAGGUAAUGUUUGAAAUUUUCAUAUUUAACCUCUUCUUGGACUAUUAUGCCAAAUCAUUGCUUCACUCUCUUUAUUUGCACUAAUAAGUUUUUAAAAAGUGAUUCUCAUCAAAAUGGAAAAGGCAGAACCGUAUUUCACACAUUAUGCAAUAGCAAAUCCAGGUUUAGCCUCUCUAGAUAGAGAACAGCAGCCAAUCCUGACUCUCUGGCUAGGAUUACGAUAAUCAUAUUCCAACCACAUGUUUGCUUCCUUUGUACUUAAACUUAAAAUAAGUUGUAUCUUUUUCAUCAUCAGGUCAUUUGCACAGGCCUUAGAGGUGGAGGAGGAAAUCAGCACACCCCUCCUCCUAUUUAACGUUUAUUACAUGGCUUAACUGUAUUGGGCUGUCUCAUGGGUAGGCAAACUAAGGGGAAACACAGUUUUUAUGAAAUCUUAGGACGAUGAAUGGUACAUUCUAUAACUAAAAGUCACCUUUAAAGGGAAGCAAAGGGACCCUCUCCAUGAUCUUGGGUUUGUAGGGCCACAAUCACAAUGGAAGAGCGUACAACACGAUCACAUCUGCAGUGUAGAAUCUGAUAGCUGUGACAACAAUAUUGAGCGCUUCCCCUUAGAAAUAUUUUAAAGAAAUAUUUUAAUGUUCUCCUGGCUGAAAAAGAAAACCUGAAAAUGUGGAGAUUAUCUGCUAAACAAUGUGAAAUUACAAGGGGUUGGAGUACAACUUCAUUAGCCAAUCGGUUGUGUUUCUUCGCUCAGCAAAGAUGUAAUAACUCCAUAGGGAUGCUAAGGGUAACAUCCUAUAUGGGUUUAUUUAUAAGUUAAAUGUACCAUUGUAUGCUUACUCCCAUGUAGGUAUGCUCUGCCAUUUUCCCUGGGGAAACCCAUGGUUUUCUGCUGAAAACAGCAAUCAGAUUUUCUAGAGAUUAGUUCCAAUUCAGCAGUAAAGAAUGUGUUUUCCAGGCAAACACAAAACCACUCUGGCUCAUGCCUAGAAAGCACGGGGAAAGUGAGAAACUGCUUUCUAGGCAGAAGCAUAGACAAGCCCUGAGUCUUGGCUUGGCAAACAUUGUGUUUUCAAUAAUCAAUGAGUAACAACAUUAUUCACUGAACCAUGACACAUAACAUUAAUGAAAAAGCACCCAAAUUCACCUCAAAUCCCAAGCAUGAAUUUAUUUUUUUGUUUUUAUUUGUUUGCAAAUCUACAUGCUUUUCUUUCUUGCUUUCUGGACAUAGCACUUUGAGUAGAUUUUCAAGUGCUGGAACUAAAGGACCAUAUCUGUUUCAGCUUCUUCUUAGGCAUUAAGCCAAUUAAAUAAAUUGUAGCUGAUCAGUCAAAUGAAUUUUAAUGUAUUAAUCAGUUAACAUUUUCAAUGGAAAGCAUAUUUUGUUUUUAGAGAGUGCAUUAAUUCUUGUCCCACGAUCACCAUCUUAAAUGGCUGGUGUUAUUAACCUCCAGGGGGCUCAAUAACACCUGUCAUUUACACUUCUUGAAGUCCUUGCCUUAAAAAACAAUUCCCGUUUUUCAUUUAGUUUCCUGACUGAGGGCAAAUUAUUAGUAUGAAAAAGUUAUUAAUCAAUUACCCUAAAUUUAUAUAUUUAUUGCUGUAAGCUGCUUUGAGACCUAGAUACUGAAAACCAAGAAACAAACUUUUCAAAUAAAUAUUAUAAAUAGAUAUUCUCUAAACAUCAAAGCCUUCCGUCUUUUACCUAAGGAAAGGUUUGCCAGUCUCUGCCUGCAAUAUUCACAGAGACUCAAAGGCUCCUCCUCAUGAGCUUAGCAUUCUACCCAGGGCAGAGUAACAGUUGGGGCAGAACAUUUCGGUGGCAUUCCGACUGAAGCAGCAGAGGCUCAGAGGAAAUUGUGAUUUGCAUCAUAUUUAAAUUCUUGCUUACAGGUUUUAGGUAAAUCCUCCAGUGCAGCCUCCCACAGAACAGUGGUUCUCUUCUGUGGUGACCGUGCUGUAUUCUUUAAGUGCCCACAUCAGUAAUGCUCCGCUAAGCCAACAGACAUAGAUGGUGCUCAGACCCCCAUUACCUGUGCACUCACUGCACUGCAGCCUUCACGGGACAUUAUCCGAAAUGCAUGUGUAUCCUGUACUUUCUUACAGCAUCCUAUUGUUUGAUGUGUCGUUUC
rnacentral:lncRNA from 1 species